CCUGAGCUUGACACAAGUCAGAAGCAGCUAGAGUCAGUGGGUGACGGGAGCAGGGAACACACUGACGCCCUUGGGUGGGGUCACAGGGCGUCCCAGCGGGCAGAGCCAACCUGGCCUUCUACAUCUGUGGAUCUGGUGGGUCUUGAAACCCUGUUGGCAUCAGAUAGAUGGUCAGGAGUCCCCACCUGGAUAAGCAAGUGCUCACUGCCAGAAAGUUCCACCUGCAGACUGUGGACGGUCACUCACCCCUGAGCAAGAAUGAGAGGACAAGGCCUGGCUGGCUGCGGGGACUCAGCAGGGCUGGAGGAAAGGUGUGGAGAAGGGCAGGAGGAGGUGGAGACACGAGGACCCCGUAUUUUUCCCUCACAUUAAAAGGUCUGUUUUCAGUGAGUUGAAAACAGAUCAAGCUUGACUGCUGGAAUUUCUUCUUGGCUGAAAAAUA